UAAUCCUGGUUCCAUGUGGUUUGGUAUAGAUUCACCCUAAAAAGAAAAUUAGUCACUCAAUUUUUUAAUUGUCAGUUUGUGAAUGUUUGAUUAAUUAAAACAUUUGUUUCAUUAUAUUUUUAUACGAACAAAUGAAACAAAAUAUAGCGACAAGUUAGCCGCUACUUUUUGAAAUUUUGUCAAAUUUCAUUACUUCAGAUUCCAAUCGACUCGGAAUCGUUUGUUUGAAACAAAUAAUACUUUCCAAACGUUUCUUUCAUGAUUUUUAUUCCGAAAAAUGAACUGACAAAUUAUUGGACAAAUCCCAUAUUGAAGCUUAGCGAACAUAACCUAUAGAUGUCACGACGUCAAGAUGCGAGACAACUUGAUAAAAACCAGGGAAGUGAUAACAACGAAUCUGACUAACCGUCUCGAAAUUAGUGUGAAGUACAUCGUUUUUUUUCUUUAAAAGUAUAUUACGUCGAGCCUGGUCGAGCCUCGAGCAUCGCUGCGCGCUCUCCAGCCUGCAAGUGGAUCUACAUUUUCCGUGUCAAAAGCACGAGUUGUGUCGUUCCACGUACAUCUAUGUCCAAAUUUACAUAAAAAUCUUCAUUUUCGAUCGCCUUGCAAUAGCGAAUGACGACAUUACACAUUUGAUCGAUUACAAGCUCGUCCGUAAAUGUGUGCCAAUUUGAUGUUGCUCCUCUCCAUUUCUGUUCUCCUCAAUUUCAUUAACGUGUACUUCCCCUGUGACUUUUAAAGUUGAUGGCUUGUCCUUUUUGAUCAUCCGGGGGGUCGACAGUGAUCCAAUGAUUCCAAGCACCUUCAGUCUUCGGUUUAUUCCCUGCUGAAGUUUUCUCGAGCUGCAUUUCUUUUGGUUUCAUGUUACACGCCGCUGAACCGGCAUUACCGAUGACGAAAUUAUGGUCCAAUCGUACCUCUGCAGGCUCAGUAAACUUCAAAGUCUGUUGAUUUUUGUGGUACCCACAUUUUUUCAGUGAGUUCGGGUUCUAUGACGGCUAAGGUUGAUGACGACAUUACGAUUUUCAUAUUUAAGUUAUUUCAAGUCUUAUUUUAAGUUAUUCAUUUUAUCAUUAAAUAAUUAUUUUAUUUCCUUGCUCCAAGGUUAUCCAGGGCAUAAUAAAACUCAAUUAAUCCCUUUUUCCUUGUACAACGAGGAGAGAGAAACCUCACUUGGAAUUUUCGAAAUCGAAAUUCUUCGAUACAGUUUGAUCGAUCAAAAAAGACUCCUCAGCCUACGUAGGACGAUGGCAAAAAUCGUCUGACAGAGUCUUUUUUAAUCGGUCUCGCACUCACGGUUGCGAUAUUCCGACUGAUCCAUCCUCUUAAUGCAGAGUUCAACGUGUUGGGGUUGCUCUCGUUUUACAUCCUGCAAACGAAUGAGACGAACACACACACAAACUCGUAGAAAAAUAUGUUACGUGACUUCAACAUAAUAAUAUACACAUCGCACGUAUAGUGGUUACAAAAAGUAUUCGUAAACUUUACAUAGAAAAUUGUAUUUCAAGUGUACGAAUGCUCAAAGUAUGAGAUCGCAUUGGAGACUGGAAAGUCAGCACCUGCGAAACCUUACUUCGUGCUACAAACGUAUCAAUUUUUAUUUUCAUAUCGACACAAAUGUUUAUGUACCCAUAAACUUGCACAUUCGUGUUUCAUUCGUAAACAGUUUGACUCUUGUUUUUUCAGUGCGGAGCAGUUCUGACAACUUUUAUUCCCCAACAACAAGAUGAGCUUCGUUUGUUCAAAGGCCGGGGAAUUUUUGAGAUUCUUGAGCCCGAAGAUUUUUCGUUGUCCAUCAUUUUUUGGAUGGUCUUGACUGUACUAUUUUGGGCUGAAACAUUAUUGGGCUAAUGAAGACAGAAAACGUACCGGAGGCGUUGGCUCUCGAGCUCCGCGCCCAUGCUCCUGUGUGCAUUUGAACAUGGAUUUAUAAAUUUGACUCGAUCGAUAUUCGCAGACUCUCGAUCUAAUAUGUGCCACACCCACUGAAUCUCGACCUUCGCGAGCUGACUCAACUUUUCCUAUUCGCUUUGUUUUCUUGUUUUCUCGUUUUCUCGAUACCACGGUGGAAAGAUUCAUUUACAUAUUGGGAGAAAACGGAUGAGGUUUUUGUUAUUUCUCGAAAGCAGGAAAUUCCAGGCGAUGCUGUCAAAAAUAUGAGAAAUAGAGCGAGUCAUAUUUUGACUCUGCAGAUUGAGAAAUUUCAGAAUAACCAGAAGAUUCGUGAGCAGAGGCUUGAAAGUAUAUCGAAACGUGAGAACGGUGAUUAAAACAUUACAGUCGCCGAUCGAUCGUCGAAUGCCCCGGCAAAAAAUGCAUCACAACGAAGCAUUUGAUCUCGUUCUACCGAAAAAUAUUCAUCCUUCCUCCAAGCUUUCUCUCAUUUCGUCAUUUUUUGACUCAAUUAGCCCUCGAAUGCUCGAAAAAAGGUUGCCCAGCACUCGGAUCGAGGAUUUUCCGCGACUCGUGACGCAUUUGACAGUACGAGACAUAAGUACAGGGAACGAAUUGAAUGAAAUUUCACCUCAAAUAUGACCGUGCUGAUCUUCGUGCGGGCUCUCCCUCGUCCCGCCCUUUCCCCUCUCGAUCACCGUUAUAAUUAACGAGAUCGCAAAGCGAUCGAGAAAACAGUUUCUCGGACAAUUAUCUCUUAUGGCUCACUCUCCUGCUGUUGCGCGAUGGCAUUCCGGCCUGUCGUAUUACGAGAAAAGACUCUUCCUCUCCUUCGUAUAUUUCACGGGACAUUCGCCGCACGCAUGCGAGUUUGACAACGAAUAAAAACAGUUUGAUGGAGUUGUAAUACUUCUCCAAUGGAAACGACUCGAUACGAGUCUUUUCGAGCUCGAAUUAAACCGUUUGCACCGAUUUAUCCCUCGCGGAUGAGUCGCCAAAAUUUUCUAUCAAUUUCAUCGUCUGUUCAGAGCUUUGAAAAACUGAAGAUUUUUCAAAGUUGAACUGCCAAUUCUAGGAAAAAACUUGCGAAAAGAACUCAUCGUGUUCGGAGAUCCUUAAAAGUCUCAUUUUUGCAAAUAUUUUCAUAAAUUUUCGAUAAUUCUUUUCAGAUCGACAACUUGCAAUGGAACGUCCCAUGCGAGUGCACCAAUUUCUGUUCUUUUUUGAAUUCUGAAAAGCGAGCGGGCUGGCCGAACAAUUAGUUCAACGAUUAAGGAAUUCUUCUCGUAAAUGUGCUCUUUUACGGCUUACUCUCGAUUCCCCGAGAGAAUUCGUACGUACUUGUACGAGAGAGCGAACGUUUCGAUCAAUCUCUCGAGAUCUAUGGAUCUCGGGAGCUAUAUAUACAAGUGUUUUACUGGAGCAAUCACAUGACGAGAUAAACGGAGGCAACCGAAGCCCUCGAGAGGAUCGGAGUGAUUUCGAAAGUGGCUUACUCGCACUGUGUAUAUUUUCUGUACGACUCUGUGGUGGACUAGAAUAAGAAGCGAGAGUGCACAGUCGAUCUAACCGCAAUACCGAUUUACCUGAUGUGCUCGCUUUCGUCUGGCGUGGGCGAAAGGAAGGCUUUUGUGUCGGCUAAUUAAAACUUUUUUUAUCCUUUCGAGUGUCUGUUCUCCCUCUUUCUCUCUCUCUCUCUCUUUCUCGUUUAUAUUAUUACACCAUGUAUUGGAUUUUCCACCUAUAUUCUCGAAUUGUCAUACUCUAGAUGUAUUUUAAUUAUCCUUAUAUGCGAUCUGUAUCUUUUAUUUUGUACCCUCUAAUUAGAUUUAGUAUUUUGGCGAUUGCUGUCUUGAGUGUCUUGAGUGUCUUUUACUUUACUUUUUUUUUACUCUUGAUAUAAUUACUCUUAAGAUUACUUGUUUAUUCUAAAAGUAGUCUGUAAGUUAUUUAGUGAUUAAGUUGCUGUCCUAUAGCUCGUUCGACUGCGUUACUUUGCAUUAAUUAGUAUUCUCUCUUACUUUCUUAGAAUCUACCUUGUUCCGAGUUUUAUACUCUUAGUUAAGUUAAAAGUUUAGUUAUAGGCUAUUGGUUGUAAUAAUGGCUGCCUAAAAGUUUUUACUAAGGCGUAAUAAACUUCAUCAUCAUCGUCAUCAUGAUCUUUCUCUCUCUGGCAUGAUUCUUUUAUUUUCUAUGAUUUCAUAUGAAGUUAUUACAAUUGUUUUCUGAUUCAUGAUUUGUAAGAUUUUGCAACUUUGUACGAUCUUAUAUUUUGUGUGAUUCGGCUUGAUGCGUGAUACUCUGCUUAUGCUAUAGUUCUUUUCUCCGUGCCGUUCUUCUCGCCAACUGCACUGUUUUGUUCUUUACCACAUAUUUUACUUUAUAUCCUUUAUUUUAUGUUCUCUUAAUGGUUUUAGCUAUACUUCUUCUGUAAUAUCGCGCAUUGCCUAAAAGUUUUACUGAGGCAUUAAUCAUUAAAUUCGCUAUUUCUUUCACAGUAAUUUUUAUAUCUCUACAUUAAUUAUUAUCAAUGUUUAAAGAGAUCGUUAAAAUCACGAGUGCAAAUGAAUGAGGUAAUUGCGAUAUUUUCCGCGUCGUUUCAAUGCGCUUAUGCUCCGAGACAAAUUAUCGUGACUUAUUUUCACUCCCAAAGAAUGCUUGCAAAUAUUAAGCAAAACUCGCUUGCUGCUCUACCUCAUAAUUAUUUUUGCUGAUAAUAAAAAAAACAGCGCAAAGGUUUCUCGUAUGACGUUGCUUCUGAAAGCUUCGUUUUUAUUCUUCACGCAGUUAUGCCUCCAUACUUUUGGCUGUCGGCGAGCCCAUUUAUAUUUUUUCGGAUAUUUAUACAUUUUUUCGGAUUCCUUCGAGAGUGUGGCCCACGGGCACUGUUUCCCAGUGACUGGGUUUUCACAGUUUCCGCUGGUUUUUCCGCUGGAAGCUGACUCGGGACGUGGCUCGGGCACACACCGGCCGAGAAUCUGUCGCUGUCGAUGUAUUAUUUAUUGAACAACGACAGCAAGAUUCGAGUCCUCGUUUUCCUAUGAUUAUUCGCGUCUUGCUUGUGCAAUUAGGAUAAAAACUAAUGACGGAUUUAAACUCUCCGGUUUUUUCCGCAAUGCACAUAAACUCGGAUAUAAUAUUUUCCCUCGAGAAAGAUCGUUAAAACCGCGAGCGCAAAGGUAAUCGUUAAUAAUAAUUUUUCUUUGUUUAUUUUCAAAGUGCAAAUGAUCGCUCGUGUGUUCGGCACGAAAGUAAACGUGCAGAAUAAUCGGUUCGUACACGUUCAGCGAUAACUUUCUCACCGCCGGUUGGCUCAUUGCGUUUUUCGAAGGAUUUUCGUCUCUCCCGAUUCCCCCUUUUGUCGAAUUUUUUUACAAUCCUUUUCGUUUGUUUCCUUCGCUCGGGGUUUCCCUCAAAUUCUCCUGGACAGUUCUUCUUCGAAUACCGCCAAAUAUCCACGUCCGACGAAGAGAGCGAACGACAUAAAGGUCAAUUAAAUUAGCCAACGUUGAGGCUCUAACCCGUGACGCGAGCCCAAUAUUUCGGACGUCACGACACCGGAUUUUUAUACUUUUUCGUUCUCUCGUGCCCACGAACCAGCGACCAGUGGUGUGUGUCCACUCGUGCUUCCCAGGUACGUCGACUGUGUUUAGCAUUCGCUGGACGGAGAUCAGAGUUCAUUUGCAUAUUAUACAUCGGAGAAAUCCAGUAUAAAAGGUUCUCCGCCUUAUGUAACACGCGGAGGAUUAAAAAAAGCGAGAGAAAGAAGAAAUUCGAAGUUGGAGAAUGAACUUUUGUGAGAGCAGCGCCGACUUCUUGCGCGUCCCGUUCAAAGGAGCUUCAAGAAAAGUUUUUUUUUGGAUCGACCAACGAUUGCUGCGGGGAGCAUAAUUUUAGAGAAGACCGCGCAAUUUCGUCCGGCAAUUCAGUAGCAUUUUCUUGAGAGCGCAAGUCGCGACGUCGGGGGUCGCGAAAUUUCACGUGCGGCUAUAUCCGAGUGAGAGCACCAGUCGAUGUCAAUUUUUAUUUUCUUAUUUGGCCGAUUUCUCGAAUAAUCGAUAGGCCCUGCGUGACUAUUUAUAUGGAGUUUCUUUCCGCGUGUCACUCACGAAACGUUGGCUGACAGGAAGUCAACAUUUCAAUGUCGAGUGACACAUGUCCGUGUGGCAGAGCGAUUUUUUUCCUCGGACACAUAACCAGCCGGUGAAUAAUUAAUGAGCGCCACUGGCGCCAAGGGAACGACGAAUUCGGAGGAAAUAGAAAUUGUACGUGUCAAGCGAUUAAUUUUGGCUUUUUCCCGGGCACGAAUCCCCCGAAAUAACUAAUUCCAGUUUCAGAUUAAUCGGGCUACCUGCAAAGACUCGCUCCGAAAAUCUGCCCAACUGACACCUUUUCAUAAAUUUUAUUUUGAGCCCGUUUGAAAAGAUGAAGAAGUUCGAAUGAAACGUUUUUAAUUCGACAAUCUCUCAGUAUUCUUAAAGAAUUUUGAGCUAUCUGCGCAUACGUCACUUCGUUAGACGAAGACAAAUUUCGUUUUGCUCGACGUCAGUUCGAAACAACGAACUUUUGUGCGAGCAUAAAUUUCGUUCAAUUCCGACGAAUUGAAAUUGGAGUGACCUGAAACUCUGUGAAAAACUUUGGAAUUCGUUUUUCGAUUCGCAUUUGUUUGGGAAUUUUUACUUUAUUUCAGCGAGUUCGUGGGUUCGAGGUUCAUACGAGUGAAUGAUAAAUUCAGUUGUCAGCGUGCAUUGAAUUUAUGUUGGAGUGUAGUACUCGUGACUCUGAAACUUGCAGGUCAAACCAGCAGGCCGCAUAUUCGAGCACGUGGGCAGGGCAUUUCGUUGAGCUCUCAAAGCGGAAACGCACGCCUACACGAAUUUUCCGAAUCUACUUCGGACACUUAUUAUUAUGCGUUGUUUCAGUGCACGUAAAUUAGGCGGUUUUUCGAGGCAAAUAAAUCACGUUCGACUUAUAUGGAGCUUCGAGCUCGUAAAUUUCUUUUCUUCUUUGGCAAUAACGUGAAAUGAGAAUAUUAAAAAGACGCCCAUGAAGAAAAUACAUUGUUCGCCGUGCGUCACACUCUCGUCCUUAAAUACGCACUGCUAAGGAGCAACGAGGGAGAGAAAGAGAGCGAGAUAAAAAGAAAGGUGUCCGCUGCUGGCUCUUGCAGUCGGGAGCCACGAGCUCAGGGCGUGGUACCAAAUGCACUCGCGGCUCGUACUGCACUUCGUACAAUUUUCUGGACACUUGAUACGCAGCAGAUCUCCUCGUCGUGCUAAUAAAACAAAAUUUGCUACCAUAAAACACGCUCUGUAUUUAUUCCUCGUUGCGUGUUCGCAAACAAUUAUGUAAAUUGAGUAAACGCAUCGAAUAUUCAAGCGAUGAUUUUCUAUCCCAAUGUUUGAGAAAUCGAACGUUGUUGGGAGAUGAAAUUUCAUCGGAUCCGCUUACCCUCGCUCUCGGCAAGUGACAAAACUUUCUUUUAGAGCUGCACAUUAUCAUUGUAAAUGGAAUAAUGUUUUUUUUUUGGUAAUCCAACCUUUGGCUCGUUUCUUGAUCGUCGACAGUUUGAAUUUUUCGGGAAACCCUCGUUGGCCUUAUUUUUUGUAAUUAUCUCGUCAGAAUAUUUUCGAAAGUUCAUUCCUCGCGUUCGGCCGCACGACCGACGUUUUCGAUACCGGAAAUGGUACAGAUAAUAUUUUGAUUCCAGCGUCGUUGCUAGGAUUGGAAUAAAUCAGAGACGCGAAUGCAGUGUAAACAGAAAGCUCGUUACGACAGAGACCGAUUUAUUUUCAUUUACUUUUUUUUCACCGUUCAAGCCGAUCGAUCAAUUCUCGGACAGUGACAAUUUGAAUUGAUUUUCAAUCGAGCUGAAUAAAUAUUUAUGGCUUGUAUAUAGAAAGCACGAGACAUGGAGCACUCUCCCGCUCAUUAGGAAUGAUUGGACACUCUAAAAGGACUACGCAAAUCUGGCCCAAGGGGGAUUUUUAAACGGAACGUUUUUUAUGAAAAAAAAUCAAAAAAGGACGUGCAAUUUGACAGAAAAAUGAUCAAACCUCCUCAAAAAUAGCGUUCGCCAGAAAGUAAGAUUUUUCGUAUUUAUACUAAAAAUUGCAUCAGCAGGACUCCAGAAUUUUGGAGAAGUAAAAAGUCGAAAAAAACAACUCCGUCGGUGUCCUCGCGGAACUCGGCGAUCGACAACUCUCCCGCCUCAGCCUCACAUCGAUAUAUUUAUACAGUUCGCAAUCGAUGGCGCCAAAUUUUCGUCCUUCGUGCGCUAAAGGAAUGUCGAUAAGGUCGAUAUCGGAGCGUGAAUACGAUCGUGAGGAGUGAUAUUCGAUUCGAAAGGUUUUUGACCUUAACACGCCCUCUCCGUAUCGCGGGGGUUGAGCGGGUGUUUCUGGAGGACUCGUCAUAGCGGAGAUCUCGGAAUGUGUGCACACGUUAAAUAAUACGUAAGAAAUGGUAUUACGGACCGUGACGUAAAUCACGGAUUCUCGAUCAAUUAACACUUGCCUCUGCGCGAAUUUUACCGAGAAAUAAUGACCGAAUCGGGCGGAUGUGAGCGGCUUCGAAAAAAAGUUUAUGGCUUUCCGUCGUAAAUAAAUUAGUCGAAAGUACGAAAAGGGCCGUUCUUAGACACGCGAAAUUUCAACAAAAUGAAAGUGCUCACGGGGGUGAUAACUUCUAUGAUGUGGCACAGUAAAAUUUCUAGUGCGGCAGAAAAAAGUGCCCUUACCUUAACCUUGGGGCAAGUACAAUUUAUAUUUUUUAUCUGAUUCGUUUGGUCCAGGAAGUAUUUCGAUCAUUUCGAUCUAUUCUCGAGAACGAUCGCGUGAACAAAAAAUAUAUCGAGAAAGCAUCUAUGCAAACAUUGAAUUCCGUUAUCAAUUUGUUCAUUCCUGAAAAAAAUUCAGGAAAUGAUUCUCUGCCUUAUUUCAUUCGCCUAUUAUACUGAUUUCCGAAAAAAAAACUUCGAAAUAAAGAAAUGAAGAAACCAUCGCAAAAUUACCUGUACUCUAACGACUUUGGUGCGACUCUGUAACGGUAUUUUGAAUACGUGUAAAGAUGUGUUGAUGAAUAAAGUGAAAAAAACAAAAAUGA